rnacentral:rRNA from 1 species
UACGAAGGUCCCAAGCGUUAUCCGGAUUUAUUGGGUUUAAAGGGUGCGUAGGCGGCUUAUUAAGUCCGUGGUGAAAGCUCCAUGCUUAACAUGGAAAUUGCCAUUGAUACUGAUGAGCUUGAGUAGAUUUGAAGUGGGCGGAAUGUGUCGUGUAGCGGUGAAAUGCUUAGAUAUGACACAGAACACCGAUUGCGUAGGCAGCUCACUAAACUCUUACUGACGCUGAGGCACGAAAGCAUGGGGAUCAAACAGG